ensembl:lncRNA
CUCCAAGUGGACCCCUAGCUUGGGAACCUCCAUAGGCUACGGGUGCGGCCCUAAAAAAAAAAAAAAAAAGACAAAACAUAAAAAAUAAAAAUAAAUAAACCAGUCACAGGAGGACAAAUACUGUCUGACUGCACUUAUAUGACAUACCUAAAGUCAAAUGCACAGAGGCAGAAAGCAGACUGGUGGUCGGUCGCCAGGGGCUGGGGGAAAGGGGAGUGGGAAGCUGUUGUUUAAUGCAGUUUCAGUUUUGCAAAGUAUAAACGUCCUGGAGAUCUGCUGUACAACAAUGAGAACAUAACACUACUCAAAUGUACAUUCAGAAAUGCUUAAGGUUGCAAACUUUCUGUUAUGUAUUUUCUUUAACCACAAUUAUAAAAAAAAGUUUAAACACUGCAGUGAGCCACUGCGUUGCAAUCUCUUCCUGAGACAGUGCUUCCCUGAGGCUGAAUGUACCACAGGUUAGGGCUACGGGGGACAUGGGGAACUUCCCUGUAAAGCCCCUCAAAAAAAAAGGAUCAGUGUUGCGAUGCCAAUUCAUUGGGGCGACAGGCUCUAGGGUGCCUGGGAGGGGGACAAGAUUACUUGAAGACCUGAAUGAGGGAAGGAGCGGGCUGUGUGAAGACAUAUGAGAGGAGCUCCAGGAGGAGGGAAGGGCAAGUGCAGAGACCUGGGGGGGUUAGAAAUGAGCCUGGCCCGUUUGGGGAGGACAGGCAGGAAGGCCAGGGCGAGUGACUCAGAGAGCAAGGGGGAGGCGGAGGGUUGAAAUACUGCCAGCGGGCCCACGUACAUGAAACAGAGAAAAAACGGUCUUUUAGCAGCAUAAACCUAUUUGAGAGUUCAGAUGCAUCAUUCUUUUAUGGUUAAAAAAUAAAGUAUAACAAUGGUUUUGUCCUAGAGAAAGGCUGGAUCAACAGAUGCCCCUCAGAGGCUAUUUGCUCCAGAUAGUCAAUGUCUGCUGAAUCUCUCCAUUAGUUCCUUGGAGUGAUUUACUUUAUUUUUUAAAUAUAUUUUAUUUAUUGAAAAAAAAAUUUUUUUUAUCCUUGGAGCGAUUUAAAAAUCACUGAUCGGCUUGGGUGCCGUCACCCUCACUCAGCCGAAGGGUAUACCGAAGCCCAGAGCAGAGAAGGGGUUUCAAGUAAGGCCAGGGCAGAGCAGGAGUUAGGCCUGGGGGUGGGGGGUUAUCUGGCGCCCCAUUCAAGGGUGGGGGCCUUGGAGAAGGAGCAUCUCUCAGGCCUAGCCCUUACAUGGGAGAAGCUCUGAAUUGUGGGACACUGGAGGGCCCUGACCCCAGCUCCCCUUAUGUGGAGAAGGGACCCCCUCCAGCAGCCUGGGCGUGAGUGUGGGGCCUGGGAGGGACAGGUGAGGAUCAAGCCAGUGGCCUGCUGGCAGGGCUUGGAGUGUCUGGGCACGGUCACCUGCUCAGCAGGACCUACCCCUCACUUCCUGCUGUUUUUUUGUUUUUUUUUGUUUUUUUUUUUUUGGUCUUUUUAGGGCCGCACCCUCAGCAUAUGGAAGUUCCCAGGCUCAGGGUUGAAUCGGAGCUACAGCUGCCAGCCUACGCCACAGCCACAGCCACACGGGAUCUGAGGCGCAUCUGCGACCUGGUGGUUUUUCAAGCCUACUUCAGCCCUCUCCCGUGAUCCUCUGGGCCUGGCUCCCCCUCCAGUGAGUCUCUUUGAAUCAAACAGUACCAGUUGGUUUCUGCUGCUUGCUACCAGGAGCUCUCCGGGAUCUGCAGGGUCUCCCAGGCUGCAGUGCCUCUGCGAUGGCUGCUGGGGUCCCGCUCUGUUAGUGACCGGCCACGUGGUCUGGGAGAGACCAUCGCAGGCUCUGACAGGCUAGGAGGGACAUGGCAGAGCCAGUAAAGGGCUCUCAGUCACCAACUGGCUCUGGGUUUCCUAAAACUCAAUUCUAAAUCCACAUUCAGGACCACACAGCCACAACUGCCUGUACUCAACCUUGUUGAUUUUUUUUUUAAAUGACCUUCUUUUGAAACCCCAACCCAUCUCAUAGGCAACUAUAUGCCACAGUCCUAAAUGGAGAACCAGUUUUGCUUGCCCUAAAUAAAAAACAAAUCCAGCAAAAUCAAAACAAAUGAUUAAAUUUCAUCCAGCUGCCAGCUCAGGGCAGCUUGAGGCUUCCUCCCUCUGUGCAAAAAGUGAGAUUAUUAAGUGUCUAACAGCAGCAAAUAGCAGCACCCAGAAGAGACUUCCUCCAUAACCCCAGAACCCUAAUCAGAAUUGAGAAGAAUGUGCCUUUCUCUCCCUAGGAUCUUUCUUUCUCUUUCUUUCUUUCUUUCUUUCUUUCUUUCUUUCUUUCUUUUCUUCCCUUUUUUCUUUUUUUUUGGCCACACUUGAGGCAUGUGGAAGUUCCCAGGCCACGGGCUAAAUCUGCACCACAGCAGCAACCCAAGCCACGGCAGGUCCUUAACAUGGUAGGCUACCAGGGAACUCCAGCUCUCCAGGAUUUAAGGUGAAUCAUGCUGCUUUGGUUAUUUAUUUUUUUACUUUUUUGCUUUUUAGGGCGGCACCUGCGGCAUGUGGGCAGACAUUCCCAGACUAGGGAUCGAAUUAGAGCUGCAGCUGCUAGCCUACGCCACAGCCACAGCAACACCAGAUCCUUAACCCACUGAGAGAGGCCAGGGAUCAAACCCACAUCCUCAUGGAUACUAGUUGGGUUCAUAACCCACUAAUCCAUGGUGGAAACUCUGGUGCUGCCUUUAAAACAGACAUGUAGGAAUUCUCAAUGUGGCUCAGCAUGUUAAGAGCCAGACAUAGAGUCCAUGAGGUUGCGGGUUUGAUCCCGGGCUUCAUUCAGUGGGUUAAGGAUCCAGCGUUGCCAUAAGCUGUGGAUCCUGCAUUGCUGCGGCUGUGGUGUAGGCUGGCGACUACAGCUCCAAUUGGACCUCUAGCCUGGGAACUUCCCUAUGCCACAGGAGUGGCCCUAAAAAAGAAAAAGACAAACAAAACAAAAAAAUGGGCAUAUAUACAAUGCACCCAGACACUAGCAAUGACCAAUCUAAUUCAGCCAGAGUCCUGUCAUGGCGAGGGUUUCAGCUGUGUGACCUUGGGCAGGUCACUUGACUUCUCUGUAUCUGGGUUCCUCCCAUCUCUACAUAAAGAGUGAAUAACAGAACCUACCUCCUAGGGGUGUCGUAAGGAUCAAAGCAACGAAUAGCAGACAGGACCUGUGACAGAGUACACGCUGCCAAACGUCUGUUAAACACAUAAGGCCAAGGCCACUCUCACGGUACCAGCGGGACCCCCGAGGUACAGGGAGAGGAAAGGACAGGCUCAGAGCAACGGGGCGCCUCCCUUCCCUCAGGCCAUCACCAGCCACAGCCAGUCGAACCCUUGGAUUAUCCAGGCGCAGGCCCUCCCUGCUCGCCCAAUGUUCCUGAGCCCCGCUUGGCUUCGGCCGGGCUUCUUAAUUUCAUUCUCACGCCAACCAAAAGAGGGCGGUGGGUCCAUCAGGCCCAGGCCACAGAGGGCAGGACUGAGCCCCCAAAGGGGUGACAUAAUUCCUGUCUGUCUCUGCGUGCAACCGGGCGGGGAGGAGGGUGCAGUGGACUGUGGGCUCCCCCACCCCCAUCCAGCCCCAGCACCCCCCGCAUUAUCUCUAGGCGGCAGCAGCUGAGCCUCCCGGUAUCUCUCUGAUCCCCCAAAUUUCCGGUUCCCCAAAGACAACUCAGGAUGUGGGGAGGGAGGGGCAGGGAGAGGAGGAGGAGGGAGACAGAGAACGUGAGAGAGAGAGAGAGGUCACAGAGAGACAGAGGGCCACAGAGGUGACAGAGACACCCAGAGACAGAGAGACAGAUGAGAGAUAGAGCUUCUAAGAGACUGAGACCCAGGUUGAGGCUGACAGAAACGGAGGCAGAGUCAGAAAGGGGGCGGUGACCCUGGGACACACAGAGACAAGGGGAGACGGGGAGGGAGAGACCCAGAGACUGAGACGGAGGCAAAAAUGAAAGUGGCAAGUGGGACGGGGAGAGAGGGGGCUGGAGUCAGAGCGGGGUGUGGGGUGCUGUCAGGAACCCAGAAACAGAAAGACAAGUGGCAAGACUGAGAGCCGGCUGGGAGAGGGUGAGAAACAUUCAAAGGCCCAGCCAAGCAAGGUGCAUGAGGAGGCAGACAGGGACGAGGACCCGAGCAUGGAGGCAGGAGGGGGCCCCGGGGGAGGAGAGCAGAGGCCCCAUGUCUGGGGCUCUUAACCCCAUAGGGCCACAGAUGCCCACAGUAUCCACCCCUCGGGCUCACGUAGCUCACAUAUCCCAGAGAAGAGGGACCUGGCUCAGGCCCAGCUGUCCAGAGCUCCAGAGCCAACAGCCCCAGUCUGAAGUCUGGCACAGGAGUGUGCUCUGAAUGGCCUCAGCGACUCGCCCCCGCUUAGUGACAGAGGAGGACAAAGAGGCCUGGAUUGGGGGGGGUCAUGGUGGGCACAGAAGGUGGUACUCAGGAAAAAGGGUUGCUUGGACCACUCAGGGAGGGAGAGCCAGUCCCCUGCCUGAUCUGGCCACCUGCCUUCCCCGAGCCUUAGUCUCCUCACUUGCAAACGGGUGAUAAAGAGAAGAACAUACUCAGAGGCACAGUAACCACCAAACAUCUGUGAAGUGUGUGGCACCUUGCGUGGCCUAUGUCAGUGCCCGAAGGCGGGCCUUGUUGAAGGUCGAAGCUCCACAGCAUCCUGUCUGGAUGAGUCAGGGCCCUUUCAUUUGCAAAUGACAGAAACCCAGCUGGAGCUGAGCCAAGUGAACCAAGGGUGUUAAUUAACUCGUGUAACUGCACAGUUGACAGGUGAAUCCUGCGUCAGGAACCAGUGGAUCCAGGACCUCAACCCAGGUUCUCGCGAACUUUUCUCCCCUUUCCUGGUACUGCUCACCUCCAUGCUCCCUUCUCCCGCACAGGUGCCCUUCAUAAGGUUCUCUCCCGGCCCACAUCCUCCUUGUCGAGGGGUCCCGGAAGAGAGAAAGAACCUUAUUCCCAAAAGUUCUAGCAAGAGUCCCUGUGCCAAGCAGAAUUUGCUCUCCGUGGGAUUUCUCUUUUGGUUUGCCUCGUUGGGUUUCCCUUUUGCACCAACUUUUAAUGAGUACAUGGUCUCCCUCCCCCUCCCUCACUCCUGGGUAGGUGGCACUUCCAUAAGUAACUCUGGGAUUUGCUGAGGGACCUUAGGCAAAUCACUUCACCUUCCUGAACCUGUUACCUUCUCUACCAGAGGGGUUCCUCACACCUUACGGACAAGAGUGUUGUGAGACUCAAUGAAUUCAUGAGUGCAGCACACAGUAAGUGGGGAAAAAAUGCAUCGCGACAGCCGCCCUCCCUUCUACCAACAAGAGCCCCUAAUUUUCCCCGGGUGCCUUCCCUGUUUCCAGUCCCUCAGAGUGGAGCAUAUGACCCGGUCCUAAGUCAUUUAGCCAUGGCAUUCUCCGGGCCAGUGACCAGUCAGGGGAGUCUUGUGACCUAAACUAGGACCAUCAGAGUAAGUGUAGGGCUUCUGCUGAAGGUUCUGGGAUAUUCUACAACAGGCCGGCAGCUGGAGCUCUGAAUCAACCCCUAGCCUGGGAACCGCCAUAUGCCGUGGGUGCGGCCCUAAAAAGCAAAAAAGAAAAAAGAAAAAUCAGAGCCCUGCCGCCCACAGCCAGGAUGGGAACCUGGAAGGAUAUGUUCCUUGCAGCUGCUGGAACCAUCACAAGCCCACAAGGGAGGGACUGUGAAAAAUGGAGACCAUGGAGAAAGGAGAGCUGAGGAGAAGCUGGAGGUUGGUGAUAACACUUAGGCUUCUGACUCCAGCCGUACCUGAGUUCCACCAUCCUCAGCAACAAGGGAUCCUAUUCAUUCACUGUCAGGGACAUCAUCGGGGGCUAGGGACCCUAGAAUCAGAAGGUUUUAUUUUUAGGGCCGAAGGUGCAGCAUAUGGAAAGUUCUUGGGCUAUGGGUCAAAUUGGAGCUGCAGCCGCUGGCCUACGCCACAACCGCAGCAACGCCAGAUCCGAGCUGCAUCUGGAACCUACACCACAGCUCACAGCAACGCUGGAUCCUUAACCCACUGAGCCGGGUCAGGCUUCGAACUCGAAUCCUCAUGGAUGUUAGUCAAGUUUGUUUCCGCUGAGCCACAAUGGGAACUCCAAGAUUUUAAGUUCAACAUCCUCAAAGGUUCCCAAAGCCCGGAAGCCUGGUGGCAGAGUUGAAACUCAAACCUAAGUCUCCUCACGGAUAUUCCAGUGCUUUUGCCACCAAACUCAGUCCUCUUUCUGGAAUUAUUGCUCAUUUGGUGGAAAUGACAGGAGCCAUAAUUAUCCAUUAGGAAUUUUUGGUGGCAAGGGAAAGAAAGCCUGGCUUGAAUUGGCCUAAUUAAAAAAAAAAA